rnacentral:misc_RNA from 1 species
AAGUCGUAACAAGGUCUCCGUAGGUGAACCUGCGGAGGGAUCAUUACAGAAGUUGUCUUGCACAACGUAAAACCAUGUGAACAUACCUUCGUUGCCUCGGCUGCCCGCUGGGGCGGCGCCGGCCUUUAGACUUGCGAGCCUCGGGACCUCCUACCCUGUAGGAGCCACCCCGCGGCCACCGCCUGUCCGGUCGAGCCGCCCCGCGGUAGCCCGUGGGCCAACCCAAGCUCUUGAAUCUCGUGAGAAAUCUGAGCGUAUUGAUUUAAUAAGUCAAAACUUUCAACAACGGAUCUCUUGGUUCUG